rnacentral:rRNA from 1 species
CAGCAGCCGCGGGAAUACGAAGGGUGCAAGCGUUAAUCGGAAUUACUGGGCGUAAAGUGUGCGUAGGCGGUGAGUUAAGUCUGCUGUGAAAUCCCCGGGCUCAACCUGGGAAUGGCAGUGGAUACUGGCUCGCUAGAGUGUGUCAGAGGAUGGUGGAAUUCCCGGUGUAGCGGUGAAAUGCGUAGAGAUCGGGAGGAACUUCAGUGGCGAAGGCGGCCAUCUGGGACAACACUGACGCUGAGGCACGAAAGCGUGGGGAGCAAACAGGAUUAGAUACCCGCGUAGUCCCUGUCUCUUAUAC